rnacentral:tRNA from 1 species
CAGGGAGACAACAAAAUGUUAAAUAUUAAUUUUGUCACCUUAGGUCGAUCGGUAUCUCACAUUCUUAAAUUUAUUAAGGAUUUUAUUUCCUAAGUUUUUUCUAGGUCACACCCAUUACUUUUCCUGGGCCAUUAGCUCAGGUGGUUAGAGCGCACCCCUGAUAAGGGUGAGGUCCCUGGUUCAAGUCCAGGAUGGCCCAUAUCUCUAUGUUGGGGGUAUAGCUCAGUUGGUAGAGCGCCUGCUUUGCAAGCAGGAUGUCAGCGGUUCGAGUCCGCUUACCUCCACUGAAUACCACCUCUUCCAUAUUUUUGAGAAGGGAAUUGUUUUGAGAUGGACUUUUAUUCUGAACGAAUCUAGCUUCCUAAUAAACUCAUUAAGAUGCUGGACUCAUUGAAUUUUAUUCAUUGUUUUCAGAGAACCUUGACAACUGCAUAGAUUAUUUUUAAAGACAAUAAGCAUCUUUAAUGAUGCAGAUUUAUUAUUUGUGCUAAUGCAUUAAUAACAAUUCUAUUGAGCUGAUGCUUCAAAUUUUUGAAGUUAUU